GGUAACUUUGAUUGGAUGAUCCCUGGAGGAUGAAAGAGGCGAAGAACAGAGCAGACGACACUGGCCGGGAUCUUAGUAAGAAACUUGAUACGAUAGGCGUGCGAGGUGGAACGUUGAAAAAGAAGAUCAGAGGCGGUUCUAAAUACGGAAUGAAGCGGAGAGUCUACUGGAAUCGAGUCGGCAGAGGGUGCCGUAAGGGGUGACACAAGUGACACCUCGUAAUACCGGGACCUGGACCGACGCCAGUUUGCAUAAGAAGUGCACAUCCUGUACGCAGCCGACGAAGCCGGUAACUGUGUAGCAAGCACCGUUUCCUCCGUGUGCUAUCUACUCGAUAGUCAAUAUUACGUGACACAACACACUGCUACGUGGCGCGCACUCUCAUCCCUGACAGCUAGCGGCGUCGUGUGCCGUGCCAGCGAGCCAUGAUGGCAACUGCAGGUACUAUGGGAUGCUGUGUCAAGUGCAGUCUGAGCUGCAUACAAUUUAGAGGAAAAAAUAUUUUAAAU